rnacentral:rRNA from 1 species
GUGAGGGAUGACGGCCUUCGGGUUGUAAACCUCUUUUUAGCAGGGAAGAAGCGAAAGUGACGGUACCUGCAGAAAAAGCGCCGGCUAACUACGUGCCAGCAGCCGCGGUAAAUAUGUAGGGCGCAAGCGUUAUCCGGAAUUAUUGGGCGUAAAGAGCUCGUAGGCGGUUUGUCGCGUCUGCUGUGAAAACCCGAGGCUCAACCUCGGGCCUGCAGUGGGUACGGGCAGACUAGAGUGCGGUAGGGGAGAUUGGAAUUCCUGGUGUAGCGGUGGAAUGCGCAGAUAUCAGGAGGAACACCGAUGGCGAAGGC